AGAGUUUGAUCAUGGCUCAGGACGAACGCUGGCGGCGUGCCUAACACAUGCAAGUCGAACGCGUUCCAUUCGGUAGCAAUACUGAUGAAGAGCGAGUGGCGAACGGGUGAGUAGCACGUGAGCAACCUGCCCCGAAGACCGGGACAACACCGGGAAACCGGUGCUAAUACCGGAUAUCCCUAUCGGACCGCAUGAUCUGAUAAGGAAAUGGAUUCCGCUUCGGGAGGGGCUCGCGGCCUAUCAGCUAGUUGGUGAGGUAACGGCCCACCAAGGCAUCGACGGGUAGCUGGUCUGAGAGGACGAUCAGCCACACUGGGACUGAGACACGGCCCAGACUCCUACGGGAGGCAGCAGUGGGGAAUCUUGCGCAAUGGGCGAAAGCCUGACGCAGCAACGCCGCGUGGAGGACGAAGGCUUUCUGAGUUGUAAACUCCUUUCAGCAGGGACGAUAGUGACGGUACCUGCAGAAGAAGCACCGGCCAACUACGUGCCAGCAGCCGCGGUGAUACGUAGGGUGCAAGCGUUGUCCGGAUUUAUUGGGCGUAAAGAGCUCGUAGGCGGUUUGAUUGGUCGGGUGUGAAACCUCCAGGCUCAGCCUGGAGCCGCCACUCGAUACUGUCAUGACUAGAAUUCGGUAGGGGACCACGGAAUUCCUGGUGUAGCGGUGAACUGCGCAGAUAUCAGGAGGAACACCAGCAGCGAAGGCGGUGGUCUGGGCCGACAUUGA
rnacentral:rRNA from 1 species